UUUUUUUUUCCUCUUGAAUGCAUAAGACAGAAUUUCUACGUUAAACAAUAGAAUUCCAACUAUUGUCAUUUGGUGUGUGCCUGUAGUCCCAGCUACUUGGGAGGCUGAGGCAGGAGAAUUGCUUGAACCCAGGAGGCAGAGGUUGCAUGGAACUAUGUUUUCAAGACACAGAGGUAGCAUAAAAGCUUAAAACCUCAUAUUGGUCCAUACCUCUUUAGGAAAGUAUCAUGCCUCUAUAAAAUUGCGAUGGAGACUGAGGACAUUGGAGAAAUUGUCUAGCAUGGGAUUCUCUGAAUUCAGGCACAUUCCAAACAAGGAAAAUGAUGCUGAAUUUGUUAUUUUUAGAAUUAUUCAAAUUGAUGGAAGACAAAAAUUCAAAGGCUAUCCCCGGUAAUGUUCAAGGAUAUGCCUAAACAAGUUAUGUAACAGAAAUUUAAAAAGCAGAGAAUUUUCAAUACAGAACAGAGCAGUGAAGUUUUCAA
rnacentral:lncRNA from 1 species